rnacentral:rRNA from 1 species
UACGGGGGGGGUAAGCGUUGUUCGGAAUUACUGGGCGUAAAGGGCUCGUAGGCGGCCAACUAAGUCAUACGUGAAAUCCCUCAGCUUAACUGGGGAACUGCGUGUGAUACUGGAUGGCUUGGAUUUGGGAGAGGGAUGCGGAAUUCCAGGUGUAGCGGUGAAAUGCGUAGAUAUCAGGGGGAAUACCGAUGGCGAAGGCAGGUCUCUGGGCUGACACUGACGCUCAUGCACGAAAGCGUGGGGAGCAAACAGG